UAUAAGAAUAUAUAAAUAAGUACAAGAGAAAAUAUUGGUUGGGGCUGGCUUUGUGUGAUGAGAUCAGAGUCAAGACACCUGAAGCAAAAACUUAAGUUGAAAAGGCUCCAAAGAGACCUGCCGUGAAAGCUACCGAAAAGAGUAAUAAAGGAAGGGGCACUAGAUCCUGUGGCUGAGAAACCUCACCAGCAAAGUUAAGGUAAGCACCGAAUGGGAGGGAGGAAGAAUUUGGAUUCUUUCUCUAACAUUGGCCGAAUGGAUGUUGGUUGUUGCAAUUCUUGAGUACUACUAGUGAAAUGUGAUAUAUAAAGGUACUCUGGACUUGUUGGAAAUGCAUCUCAAGUAAUCCUAAGAUUUUGGAAGAGGUCAAAGAAGAGAAAGGAGCUCAAACAGUAUGAUGUCCACAAAGAUAUAGAAGUUCAAAGAAUGCAAUAACUGGAUGGAAGAGAGUUUGUAAGCGGUGAUCUUUACCUUGCUCUUUUGUUAUAAUAAAUUAGUCUUGGGUUACUUACCAAAGAGGGAAAGAGUAAAUGGUUUUGUAAAGGGUGAAUAUAGAAGUUCAAAGCAAUGUGGAAUCAAUUCAAGGAAAUUAGUUAUUAGCUAAGUUGUUGAGGAAGAUUCAAGUUCUCACUAAUUUAGUCUUUUUCAAUUUCUUAUUCUAUUAUAUUUUGCAAGGUGGGAGGAGGUCAUAUGAAAAAAGUGUAUGUUCAUUUAGUACCCGGAGAAUAUUUUGUAUAUUUAAUCACAACAUUCUAACAAUGUAUAUUUUGUUAGAACUUAUACUCUACUAGUCUGAAUAUGCAAAAUUGGUUGGAGUUGCUCCUGAGAAAAUGGUGCUUAUUGUACUGUACAGGGAGGCACAUA